UCCCAUGAAAAGGAGGGAAUAGGGAAGAGCUGAAGAAGGGAUGGAGAGGAUGGAGAAGGUGAUAGGAGAGGUCCCUGAAGAGGUCAGCCAGCAGCAAGGGCUGUCCCCCCAGCACUUGGGGCUGAUGGGUGCUUUGACCAGCGUUGCUCAGUAAACCUCAGAGCCACACUGAAAAUGAACGUGUGAGUUUGCUGCGUUGGCAAGUCCCACCCUGGGAGCCCUGGGAUGGUGGAAGGAUGUCACCCCUUGGCUACAACCUUGCUGAUCACUGCAAACCCGGGUAAAGGUUAAUCAUUCUUAAUCUGUGGUUUUACUGAACCAGAGUCUGCCUGCUGCUGCUGCACUCCUGCUGCAGCUGUGGGGAGGGAGGCGCUCCCUCAGCUGAUUUGCAUCCAGCCUUGCUGCAGUUAUUUUCCUUUGGAAACACAUGGCCUGAACCUGGGAGGAGAGGAAGAGGAAGAGGAGGGUGUCCUGUUUCUCUCCAGGAGAAGGUAGUUUGACAGAUUUUGAUGAAUGCCCUGGGAAUGUGCUGUAAUUCAUGUUGGAGAUCUGAUGUUCUAUCAGAAGGGCAGGGGAUACAUGACCUGAAGGCUGCCUUUCUAGGCUGCUGUUUUUGUACAGAAGUUCAUUUUCUGAGAGGAAGAUGCUCAGAGAAGGCUCUGAAUGAAGUUGUC
rnacentral:lncRNA from 1 species